rnacentral:rRNA from 1 species
UUAAGCGACUAAGCGUACACGGUGGAUGCCCUGGCAGUCAGAGGCGAUGAAGGACGUGCUAAUCUGCGAUAAGCGUCGGUGAGGUGAUAUGAACCGUUAUAACCGGCGAUUUCCGAAUGGGGAAACCCAGUGUGAUUCGUCACACUAUCAUUAACUGAAUCCAUAGGUUAAUGAGGCGAACCGGGGGAACUGAAACAUCUAAGUACCCCGAGGAAAAGAAAUCAACCGAGAUUCCCCCAGUAGCGGCGAGCGAACGGGGAGCAGCCCAGAGCCUGAAUCAGUGUGUGUGUUAGUGGAAGCGUCUGGAAAGGCGUGCGAUACAGGGUGACAGCCCCGUACACAAAAAUGCACAUACUGUGAGCUCGAUGAGUAGGGCGGGACACGUGGUAUCCUGUCUGAAUAUGGGGGGACCAUCCUCCAAGGCUAAAUACUCCUGACUGACCGAUAGUGAACCAGUACCGUGAGGGAAAGGCGAAAAGAACCCCGGCGAGGGGAGUGAAAAAGAACCUGAAACCGUGUACGUACAAGCAGUGGGAGCCUCUUAAUGGGGUGACUGCGUACCUUUUGUAUAAUGGGUCAGCGACUUAUAUUCUGUAGCAAGGUUAACCGAAUAGGGGAGCCGAAGGGAAACCGAGUCUUAACUGGGCGUUAAGUUGCAGGGUAUAGACCCGAAACCCGGUGAUCUAGCCAUGGGCAGGUUGAAGGUUGGGUAACACUAACUGGAGGACCGAACCGACUAAUGUUGAAAAAUUAGCGGAUGACUUGUGGCUGGGGGUGAAAGGCCAAUCAAACCGGGAGAUAGCUGGUUCUCCCCGAAAGCUAUUUAGGUAGCGCCUCGUGAAUUCAUCUCCGGGGGUAGAGCACUGUUUCGGCAAGGGGGUCAUCCCGACUUACCAACCCGAUGCAAACUGCGAAUACCGGAGAAUGUUAUCACGGGAGACACACGGCGGGUGCUAACGUCCGUCGUGAAGAGGGAAACAACCCAGACCGCCAGCUAAGGUCCCAAAGUCAUGGUUAAGUGGGAAACGAUGUGGGAAGGCCCAGACAGCCAGGAUGUUGGCUUAGAAGCAGCCAUCAUUUAAAGAAAGCGUAAUAGCUCACUGGUCGAGUCGGCCUGCGCGGAAGAUGUAACGGGGCUAAACCAUGCACCGAAGCUGCGGCAGCGACACUAUGUGUUGUUGGGUAGGGGAGCGUUCUGUAAGCCUGUGAAGGUGUACUGUGAGGUAUGCUGGAGGUAUCAGAAGUGCGAAUGCUGACAUAAGUAACGAUAAAGCGGGUGAAAAGCCCGCUCGCCGGAAGACCAAGGGUUCCUGUCCAACGUUAAUCGGGGCAGGGUGAGUCGACCCCUAAGGCGAGGCCGAAAGGCGUAGUCGAUGGGAAACAGGUUAAUAUUCCUGUACUUGGUGUUACUGCGAAGGGGGGACGGAGAAGGCUAUGUUGGCCGGGCGACGGUUGUCCCGGUUUAAGCGUGUAGGCUGGUUUUCCAGGCAAAUCCGGAAAAUCAAGGCUGAGGCGUGAUGACGAGGCACUACGGUGCUGAAGCAACAAAUGCCCUGCUUCCAGGAAAAGCCUCUAAGCAUCAGGUAACAUCAAAUCGUACCCCAAACCGACACAGGUGGUCAGGUAGAGAAUACCAAGGCGCUUGAGAGAACUCGGGUGAAGGAACUAGGCAAAAUGGUGCCGUAACUUCGGGAGAAGGCACGCUGAUAUGUAGGUGAAGUCCCUCGCGGAUGGAGCUGAAAUCAGUCGAAGAUACCAGCUGGCUGCAACUGUUUAUUAAAAACACAGCACUGUGCAAACACGAAAGUGGACGUAUACGGUGUGACGCCUGCCCGGUGCCGGAAGGUUAAUUGAUGGGGUUAGCGGUAACGCGAAGCUCUUGAUCGAAGCCCCGGUAAACGGCGGCCGUAACUAUAACGGUCCUAAGGUAGCGAAAUUCCUUGUCGGGUAAGUUCCGACCUGCACGAAUGGCGUAAUGAUGGCCAGGCUGUCUCCACCCGAGACUCAGUGAAAUUGAACUCGCUGUGAAGAUGCAGUGUACCCGCGGCAAGACGGAAAGACCCCGUGAACCUUUACUAUAGCUUGACACUGAACAUUGAGCCUUGAUGUGUAGGAUAGGUGGGAGGCUUUGAAGUGUGGACGCCAGUCUGCAUGGAGCCGGCCUUGAAAUACCACCCUUUAAUGUUUGAUGUUCUAACGUUGGCCCCUGAUCGGGGUUGCGGACAGUGUCUGGUGGGUAGUUUGACUGGGGCGGUCUCCUCCUAAAGAGUAACGGAGGAGCACGAAGGUUGGCUAAUCCUGGUCGGACAUCAGGAGGUUAGUGCAAUGGCAUAAGCCAGCUUGACUGCGAGCGUGACGGCGCGAGCAGGUGCGAAAGCAGGUCAUAGUGAUCCGGUGGUUCUGAAUGGAAGGGCCAUCGCUCAACGGAUAAAAGGUACUCCGGGGAUAACAGGCUGAUACCGCCCAAGAGUUCAUAUCGACGGCGGUGUUUGGCACCUCGAUGUCGGCUCAUCACAUCCUGGGGCUGAAGUAGGUCCCAAGGGUAUGGCUGUUCGCCAUUUAAAGUGGUACGCGAGCUGGGUUUAGAACGUCGUGAGACAGUUCGGUCCCUAUCUGCCGUGGGCGCUGGAGAACUGAGGGGGGCUGCUCCUAGUACGAGAGGACCGGAGUGGACGCAUCACUGGUGUUCGGGUUGUCAUGCCAAUGGCACUGCCCGGUAGCUAAAUGCGGAAGAGAUAAGUGCUGAAAGCAUCUAAGCACGAAACUUGCCCCGAGAUGAGUUCUCCCUGACUCCUUGAGAGUCCUGAAGGAACGUUGAAGACGACGACGUUGAUAGGCCGGGUGUGUAAGCGCAGCGAUGCGUUGAGCUAACCGGUACUAAUGAACCGUGAGGCUUAACCU